GACGAACGCUGGCGGCGUGCUUAACACAUGCAAGUCGAACGAUGAAGCCCUUCGGGGUGGAUUAGUGGCGAACGGGUGAGUAACACGUGGGUAAUCUGCCCUUCACUCUGGGACAAGCCCUGGAAACGGGGUCUAAUACCGGAUAUCACUUCCGUAGGCAUCUGCGGUGGUUGAAAGCUCCGGCGGUGAAGGAUGAGCCCGCGGCCUAUCAGCUUGUUGGUGAGGUAACGGCUCACCAAGGCGACGACGGGUAGCCGGCCUGAGAGGGCGACCGGCCACACUGGGACUGAGACACGGCCCAGACUCCUACGGGAGGCAGCAGUGGGGAAUAUUGCACAAUGGGCGAAAGCCUGAUGCAGCGACGCCGCGUGAGGGAUGACGGCCUUCGGGUUGUAAACCUCUUUCAGCAGGGAAGAAGCGAAAGUGACGGUACCUGCAGAAGAAGCGCCGGCUAACUACGUGCCAGCAGCCGCGGUAAUACGUAGGGCGCAAGCGUUGUCCGGAAUUAUUGGGCGUAAAGAGCUCGUAGGCGGCUUGUCACGUCGGGUGUGAAAGCCCGGGGCUUAACCCCGGGUCUGCAUUCGAUACGGGCAGGCUAGAGUGUGGUAGGGGAGAUCGGAAUUCCUGGUGUAGCGGUGAAAUGCGCAGAUAUCAGGAGGAACACCGGUGGCGAAGGCGGAUCUCUGGGCCAUUACUGACGCUGAGGAGCGAAAGCGUGGGGAGCGAACAGGAUUAGAUACCCUGGUAGUCCACGCCGUAAACGGUGGGAACUAGGUGUUGGCGACAUUCCACGUCGUCGGUGCCGCAGCUAACGCAUUAAGUUCCCCGCCUGGGGAGUACGGCCGCAAGGCUA
rnacentral:rRNA from 1 species